CAAGUGUGGAGAGAAAAAGUCUUGCUAAUACAUAUGAGAUGGAGAAAAAGAGGAUGGACAUGUUUAAAUCAUCAUUGCUGGAAAUAUGGUUCAUGCAGUGCAACAAGCUGUUGGAAGAAGAUUUGUUUUUAGGAUUAAAUUAGAUUAGAAUUUCAUGAUCUUGGUAUAUGAUGCUUUUGUUAUUUUUGUAAGUACAAAAGCAUACGUUUUAGGAGGUUUAGCUUUUGAAAGUGAGUAAAUAUUGGUGUAUCAAUUUUAUGUAUUGACGUUUAUAUAUAUGAAUUAUUAUUUUAUA